rnacentral:rRNA from 1 species
UUGACUGAGUGGCGGACGGGUGAGUAACGCGUGGGUAACCUGCCUCAUACAGGGGGAUAACAGUUGGAAACGACCGCUAAUACCGCAUAACCCGCUAGGGCCGCAUGGCCCGGACGGAAAAGAUUUAUCGGUGUGAGAUGGACCCGCGUUGGAUUAGCUAGUUGGCAGGGUAACGGCCUACCAAGGCGACGAUCCAUAGCCGGCCUGAGAGGGUGAACGGCCACAUUGGGACUGAGACACGGCCCAA